rnacentral:rRNA from 1 species
GCCCUGAAUCAAGCCUUAUAGAAUUUUAUGCAACACCACCACCACGCCUAAGGUAGAUAAAACAUUUUAUCAUUCUAGUAGAGGUGAUCAAAAAACUUAUAAAGCGCUUCAUAUAAAGUACCGCGAGGGAACGAUGAAAUAAUAUGAAAUAGACCUAAGCAUAAAAUAGCAGAGAUAGUCCCUCGUACCUUUUGCAUCAUGGUUUGGCUAGUCCUUAUCAAGCAAAGCGAAACCUCAGUUUGACCCCCCGAAACUGGAUGAGCUACUUCGAAACAGCUUUUAGAGCGAACCCAUCUCUGUUGCAAAAGAGCGGGACGAUUUCCAAGUAGAAGUGAAAAGCCUAUCGAAUCCAGAGAUAGCUGGUUAUUUAGGAAAAGAAUUUUAGUUCAUUCUUAAGCCUCCAAUAUUAAUCUAAACAAAUUCCUAGGCUUAAGUGUUAUUCAACUAAGGCACAGCUUAUUUGAAAAAGGACACAACCUAGAAUUAAGGGUAAGGAAAACUCUAUCCGUAAAGUGGGCCUGAAAGCAGCCAUCUUUGAAAAAGCGUUAAAGCUUCCCCCACCCCCUCCCAUCCCAAUCCCAACACCCCUCACGAACCCUUUAUCACUACUAAAUAACCCUAUAAAUUAUAGGAGCUAUAAUGCUAAAACUAGUAACAAGAAUUAGACUUUCUCCGAAAUGCAGGCAUACAUCAAAACGGACUCACCAUUGAUCAUUAACGUGUAUGAGCCAAACAUAGUAACUUAUCAAGAAAAAGCUAUGAACCCUGACGUUAACCUUACACAAGAGCAUUCCCGGAAAGAUUAAAAGAGAAAGAAGGAACUCGGCAAAUCUAAGCCCCGCCUGUUUACCAAAAACAUCGCCUCUUGCUCACUUAUAAGAGGUCCAGCCUGCCCAGUGACAUAGUUCAACGGCCGCGGUAUCCUAACCGUGCGAAGGUAGCAUAAUCACUUGUUCUCUAAAUAGGGACUAGUAUGAAAGGCAUCACGAGGGUUUUACUGUCUCCUUUCUCCAAUCAGUGAAACUGAUCUCCCUGUGAAAAAGCAGGAAUAAAUAUAUAAGACGAGAAGACCCCAUGGAGCUUUAAACCCAACAACAACCCAAACCCUCCAGUCCCUAAUAGUUUUAUAAAGUAUUGCUUGUUGGUUUUAGGUUGGGGUGACCGCGGAGAAUAAAUCAACCUCCAUGACGAAUGGGACUAACCCCUUACCCAAGAGCAACUCCUCUAAGGAUUAACAAAUUAACGUUAAGUGAUCCAACUUAUUGAUCAACGAACCAAGUUACCCUGGGGAUAACAGCGCAAUCCAUUUUUAGAGCCCCUAUCAAAAGAUGGGUUUACGACCUCGAUGUUGGAUCAGGGUACCCCGGUGGUGCAGCCGCUACCAAUGGUUUGUUUGUUCAACAAUUAAAACCCUACGUGAUCUGAGUUCAGACCGGAGCAAUCCAGGUCGGUUUCUAUCUAUAAAGGGUUACUCCUAGUACGAAAGGAUCGGGGUAACGUGGCCAAUAUGUAAACAUGCCACAGCUAUGACUAAUGAAAUAAACUUAAUUAGCUAAAACCCUUUUAUUUACUUUUAGACAAAAA